rnacentral:rRNA from 1 species
AACGAACGUUGGCGGCGCGGAUUAGGCAUGCAAGUCGAACGAGACUCAGUGGUGUAGCAAUACACUGCUGGGAAAAGUGGCGAAAGGGGCAGUAAUGCGUGGAUAAUCUACCCUGGGGAUGGGGAUAGCCGUCCUAACGGACGGGUAAUACCCAGCGACGUGGCGAAGGCGCAUGUUUUUGCCACCAAAUGAAUUUCGCCCUGGGAGGAGUUCACGUGAUAUUAGCUUGUUGGUGGGGUAACGGCCUACCAAGGCAAAGAUGUCUAGCAGGUGUGAGAGCACGACCUGCGCCACUGGCACUGAGACACUGGCCAGACUCCUACGGGAGGCUGCAGUCGAGGAUCUUCGGCAAUGGGCGCAAGCCUGACCGAGCGACGCCGCGUGUGCGAUGAAGGCCUUCGGGUUGUAAAGCACUGUCGAGGGGGAGGAAGCCGAAAGGUUGACCUAUCCCUGGAGGAAGCACGGGCUAAGUUCGUGCCAGCAGCCGCGGUAAGACGAACCGUGCGAACGUUGUUCGGAAUCACUGGGCUUAAAGGGCGCGUAGGCGGCUUGCCAAGUCGGGGGUGAAAUCUUUCGGCUCAACCGGAAAAGUGCCUUUGAUACUGGCAGGCUAGAGCGAGGUAGGGGCAGCUGGAACUUCCGGUGGAGCGGUGAAAUGCGUUGAUAUCGGAAGGAACGCCGGUGGCGAAAGCGAGCUGCUGGACCUCUUCUGACGCUGAGGCGCGAAAGCCAGGGGAGCAAACGGGAUUAGAUACCCCGGUAGUCCUGGCCCUAAACGAUGGGUACUAGGUUGUGGACUUGACAUGGGUUCACAGCCGAAGCAAAAGUGUUAAGUACC